rnacentral:rRNA from 1 species
UAAGACAGAGGAUGCAAGCGUUAUCCGGAAUGAUUGGGCGUAAAGCGUCUGUAGGUGGCUUUUUAAGUCUGCCGUCAAAUCCCAGGGCUUAACCCUGGACAGGCGGUGGAAACUACCAAGCUGGAGUACGGUAGGGGCAGAGGGAAUUUCCGGUGGAGCGGUGAAAUGCGUAGAGAUCGGAAAGAACACCAACGGCGAAGGCACUCUGCUGGGCCGACACUGACACUGAGAGACGAAAGCUAGGGGAGCAAAUGGGAUUAGAUACCCCAGUAGUCCUAGCCGUAAACGAUGGAUACUAAGCGCUGUGCGUAUCGACCCGUGCAGUGCUGUAGCUAACGCGUUAAGUAUCCCGCCUGGGGAGUACGUUCGCAAGAAUG